CCUACGGGGGGCAGCAGUGAGGAAUAUUGGUCAAUGGACGAGAGUCUGAACCAGCCAAGUAGCGUGAAGGGUGACUGCCCUAUGGGUUGUAAACUUCUUUUAUAUGGGAAUAAAAUGUUCCACGUGUGGGCUUUUGUAUGUACCAUAUGAAUAAGGAUCGGCUAACUCCGUGCCAGCAGCCGCGGUAAUACGGAGGAUCCGAGCGUUAUCCGGGUUUAUUGGGUUUAAAGGGAGCGUAGGUGGAUUGUUAAGUCAGUUGUGAAAGUUUGCGGCUCAACCGUAAAAUUGCAGUUGAAACUGGCAGUCUUGAGUACAGUAGAGGUGGGCGGAAUUCGUGGUGUAGCGGUGAAAUGCUUAGAUAUCACGAAGAACUCCGAUUGCGAAGGCAGCUCACUGGACUGCAACUGACACUGAGGCUCGAAAGUGUGGGUAUCAAACAGGAUUAGAUACCCGGGUAGUC
rnacentral:rRNA from 1 species